rnacentral:rRNA from 1 species
ACGCGAAAGCAGGCUUCGGCCUGUGAGUAGAGUGGCAGACGGGUGAGUAACACGUGGGCAACCUGCCCGGAGGUGGGGGAUAACCCUUCGAAAGGAGGGCUAAUACCGCAUGACACCACGCGCUCCUCGGAGUGCGUGAUCAAAGCUGGCCUCUACAUGUAAGCUAGCGCCACCGGAGGGGCCCGCGCCCCAUUAGCUUGUUGGUGAGGUAACGGCUCACCAAGGCAACGAUGGGUAGCCGGCCUGAGAGGGUGAUCGGCCACACUGGAACUGAGACACGGUCCAGACUCCUACGGGAGGCAGCAGUGAGGAAUUUUGCGCAAUGGGGGAAACCCUGACGCAGCGACGCCGCGUGGAGGAUGAAGGUCUUCGGAUCGUAAACUCCUGUCAAGUGGGACGAACGCUGGAGGAGUCAAUAGCUCUUUCGGUUGACGGUACCACUGGAGGAAGCCCCGGCUAACUCCGUGCCAGCAGCCGCGGUAAUACGGAGGGGGCCAGCGUUGUUCGGAAUCAUUGGGCGUAAAGGGCGCGCAGGCGGCCCGGCAAGUCGAAAGUGAAAUCCCUCGGCUCAACCGAGGAACUGCUUUCGAAACUUACGGGCUCGAGUCCCGGAGAGGGUGGCGGAAUU